rnacentral:lncRNA from 1 species
UCCUGAGGAUGUUCAGCUGGUUUUACAGCCACGUGGAAUCCUACACAGAACCCAGCACAUUCUUCUCCAAUUUAAACCACUUUCACCAGGAAUUCUGUUUCUGCUUUCAAAUGGGGCCCUGUCCCGCCCCAAGGGCUGGCACUGACGUGUUUUGUUUGCAGGCUCAGCAUCUCCUCCAGACUGUGGAGUGGAAUGGAUCGCCUCCAGCAGGGCCCUGAGCCACUGUGUGAGUUGACCAGUCACAAAAAUACAGCUCCCUGUGCUCCCCCACCAGCCCACUCCCCCACCUCCCCCACACACAGGCAGGAAAGGCGAACACUGACUCAGGGCCCACUGAGUGCCAGGCACUGGGCACCAAAAUGAAGCUGCUGUCAAGGACUUCCAGCCACAGAGCGACAGCAAGAAAUUCGGUAGGCGAGGCUCCAGGACAGGUGGCGGGUGGGAACAGCCAGGGCGGGCAGAGCUUGGCAAACACCGGCAGCAGGCGGCACUCAAGCCUGGUCUUCACACUGAGGGCACAUCCAUAUCACGUGAGAUCUUGUCAUAAACACGGAUCCUGGCUGCACCCCAGAUGCUUAUUUAGGCGGUCUGGGGUGGAGUCCUGGAACCCGCAGGUGUAACAGGGUCUGGGCGUGUCUGACUCAGGUGGACUCUGUUAGAAGCUGCAGGGAGAAGAGUGAGGGGCUGAGAGUCAUCACCACUGCACAUUUCCUCACAGUUCUGGGGAGCUGGGGGCAGUGGGGGGACAUGCGGGAGUGUAGAUAGGGAAGAAAGAGCAAGGCCAAAGGGCAGCCCUGCUAGACAGAGGUCUGGAUGUGGCACCACAGUCUCUGGCACUAUGUGCGAGUGAGGAUAUUGCGUGCCUCCCAGUGAAGACUCAGUGAGUGGCACCUGAUCCUCCCAUCACUUUUCUGGAGCAGAUUAUUGCUUCUUUCAGCCCGCUCAGUUCUCCAUUUGCACCUGUUUUCCAACUGCAAUGCAACGCGAGGCUCCCUGACUUCCCAAUCCAGUCUUCCCCUCCAAAAUGGCCUUACUCAGCCCUGCCAGCUGCUGCUCUUUGAGCUACAAGGACUCCUGCCCGUGUCGGUCCUGGGGGAUAAGUGCUAAGGGCUAGUAUUUACUUAUCUAUUGUUAAACCUGCUGUAUGGAGUUGCAGAACAAGAAUCAGAAAAUCUCGGGAGCUGCCAGGGCCAGACGAUGGGCUUGAGGUCAGAGAAUUGUUGGGUGUCAACUCCACGGAAAGGGCUCUCCCUUCCCCUUUUCUUCCGUCCCCUCCAUUGGAGAUUUUUCUGCCCCAAGAAAAAGAGCUGAGGAAGAUGCCCACUGCCCCUCCUAGUCAGCAGUGGUAAUAGGGCUCUGCAUCCAGUAAGUGGAAGGUGAGAUACAGGCAAGGGAAACUAGGUCCCUGCAGCAUGUGCCCAGAAUGCAGGAUGAGGUCUGUGCUGUUGGAGAAAGGUGGACCGAUUACAAGGAGAGCAGGAGCAGAGAAAGGAGGAGGGUGGGAUGGAUAUCACCAAGUAGAAGCCUUGGGGAGAUGUGAGGGCUGAAGGCCAAAGACAAGAAACCGGCCACGGGUCCUGGGAAGAGGUCACAAGACAGAAGAACUUGGUUUUGUACUUUCCUUAGCUCUUACUUGACAUAAUGUGUGAUGAUUGGGCUUCUCUCUCCGUUUGUUUUAUGCCUGGAUAUUUUGAUAAACAGAUAUGAUAUUCAAGUACCAAUCUUUGUGAUUUAUUUGUUAAUUUAGAAAUGACCUUUUAGAUCAUUCAUUUAGAAUGAUCUUUACCUAUCAACUGAAGUUGAACAUAUGCCUCAGCUUACUUGCUUACUAUAAAUUCUUUAUUCUUUAUAAGAGGUCUGUUUCUGGCUGGGUGCAUUGGCUCACAUUUGAAAUCUCAGCACUUUGGGAGGCCAAGACAGAAGGAUUGCUGGAGGCAGGGUUCAAGACUAGCCUGGGCAACAUAGGGAGACAGCCCCCACCCCAUCCCUGUGUCUACAAAACAUAAAAAAAAAAAAAA